AUGGCGAGUCUUCUGCUCUCCCAUAAUCGAGCUUUGCUCGCUCCCUCACCAGGGCCACUCUCUCGAAGCCCUAACGCUAGCAGAGGGACGAACAUCGCCCUCUCUCAUCACUUCCCAUGGCGAUCUUCCCCAUCCGCGAGAGCCAAAACCUCCCUAUCUCCACUACAUCCAUGGAAAUUUCUAAGGAAUCAGUCCCACGGAGAAGUUCCGGGGCCUCGUAGGGCCGCUUCUGGUUCUUUUAUUCCAGAAAGCGAGCCACAGAAACCUAGUUUCCUGGAGUUCGUCACCUCUGAGAGGGUCAAGGUGGUCUCGAUGCUGGGAUUGGCUCUCGCGCUCUGCAAUGCCGAUCGGGUGGUGAUGUCGGUGGCCAUCGUUCCACUUUCCCAGGCUCACGGAUGGAGCCAGUCCUUUGCCGGCAUCGUUCAGUCAUCUUUCCUUUGGGGUUAUCUCAUGUCGCCCAUAAUUGGAGGAGCUCUAGUGGAUUACUAUGGUGGCAAGAUAGUCAUGGCGUGCGGUGUGACUCUUUGGUCGAUGGCCACUUUCCUCACUCCUUGGGCUGCUGAGACUUCUUUGCGGGCUCUACUUGCUAUGAGAGUUCUUUUGGGUGUUGCAGAAGGAGUGGCACUACCUAGUAUGAACAACAUGAUCCUAAGAUGGUUUCCUCAAACAGAACGAUCUGGAGCUGUUGGAAUUGCUAUGGCUGGAUUCCAGCUUGGCAAUGCAAUUGGUCUACUCAUUGCCCCUAUAAUCAUGUCACAAGCUGGAGUCUUUGGACCUUUUGUAAUAUUUGGAUUAUUUGGAUUUCUUUGGGUAUUGGUAUGGCUGUUUGCAACAUCAAGUACGCCUGAUAGACAUCCCCAGAUAUCAAGAUAUGAGUUAAAGUAUAUUAUGAAGAGUCAAAAACUUCCGAUGCCUGAUAUUAAGGAACCUGAAAAAUCCAGAAUGAUCCCUCCCUUCAGGAAAUUACUUUCAAAGAUGCCAACAUGGGCUUUAAUUUCUGCAAACGCCAUGCAUAGCUGGGGUUACUUUGUUAUUCUUUCUUGGAUGCCAAUUUACUUCAACACUAUUUAUCAUGUGAACCUCAGGGAGGCUGCAUGGUUUAGCGCGCUUCCAUGGGUCAUGAUGGCGGUUUUGGGGUAUGUUGCUGGUGCUGGUUCAGACAUGCUAAUUCGAAAUGGUACAAGUGUUACUUCCACUCGAAAAAUCAUGCAGUCAAUUGGUUUUGUUGGUCCUGGGGUUGCUCUUCUUGGCUUGAAUAUGGCAAGAAAUCCUUUUGUGGCUUCUGCUUGGCUUACAGCAGCUGUUGGGUUGAAUUCUUUUAGCCACUCUGGUUUUCUGGUGAAUCUCCAGGAGAUAGCCCCACAGUAUGCUGGUGUCCUACAUGGAAUGUCGAAUACCGGUGGAACUUUGGCAGCCAUUAUAGGAACUGUUGGGGCAGGUUUCUUUGUUGAGCAGAUGGGUUCCUUUCGUGGAUUUUUGAUGCUUACAUCACUUUUAUAUUUCAUCAGUGCAAUUUUCUGGGAUAUUUUUGCUACCGGAGAGCGUAUUAAUUUCAAUGGAGCUGGUUAGUAACAUAUGACAGGCUAAAUUUUCUGUUUGAUAGAAUUGUGCAUUGGUGCUCAUUCUCUGUCCUAGUUUAAAGAAGCUUUGGCUAUAUCCUGACAAAAAAAAUUACAAAAUCAAUGUGUGCACAUAUGGUGACUUAAAUGCUUGUCCAUCGCUAUUUAUUAUAUGGAAAAACUAUGCCAAUUCGUAGUAAUUGGUCUUGAUUGGCCUUAAGAGGCAUGGCUGCUAAAAUGGUGAUAUUUAAGGAUUGUCUUCCCUUAUAGGACCAAAGAUGAUCCCGCAUGCUAGAGGAAAUUAAGUAAUGAAACAUAACAGGGAAAUAGAUUGUGUGUGUGUUUAAUGUGGUUCUGCGAAUUGUCUCGCACCAUUGGAUUCAUCCUGCAGUCUUGUAAUUCUAAAGUUGCCUGAGGAAGUUUUCUUCUGGAGCCUAUCAAUUCAUAGUUUAUAAUUUGCUGGGUUGGAUUCUGUCCUGAAACAUUUGUUAUGUAAUCCACAUAAAAUUGUUGUUCUUUAUUUGCUCAGACAUCUACCUCCACAGGUUCUUGUGAUCCAUAGGCUCUUAAGAACCUUAUUAACAACUUCUUCAUCCACAUAGAACAAAUGGGUGAUUAAACUUACUGGCAGCAUCUGGAAAGUUUUGCUAUCCCAGUUGAAGAGAUAUUUUAUGUCAUAAUGAUUGUAAAUUCUGAGAGUAGACAAGGAGCCCAAGUCUAAGAACUUGAUGAUGCCUGGUGAAAUGAGUGCUCUGAAGGCAAUCAGAAAAAAUUGACAGAAGUUGAAUGGUUUUGUUCUUUUGUAAUGUGAAUGUUAUAAAUAAUCCGUGUUGAUCUUGGAGACUAGAGAAUUUCGUAUGCAAGAAAAAGUGUUGGUUUAAAGAGGAAAAUCAUGUUGUCCUUUUGGUUUGGGUGUGACCUUGCUAGACUGGGCAAAAUAGCCUAAGAAAAUGGAUAAAUUUUCAUCGGUCUUGAUCA